rnacentral:lncRNA from 1 species
AUGGGGUGCCCCAGCUCCUGCCCCUGUCCUGGGCAGGGAGGAGCCACUCCGGGGGUCCUGGGGUGGCCGAAGGGGCAGGGGAGCUGCUGGGGCCAUCUCACAGCUGCUGCUGGGUUUAUUGGCAUUCAGUGCCAGGGAUGUCCUCUGCAGAGACAAACCUCAAAAUUACACUUUUGGCAGUCAUCGGGCAGUGGCCGGGCUGCGGAUGCGACCUGGCAAGGCUGUCCCUGCACCCUCCCUUGGCUACAACAUGUUCCCAGUCCUGCUCAGGGCUCGAUCUCUGCUCGUGGCAGUGCUGCUGGGCGAGAAAUCCUUAGCUGCAUCACUCAGAGCCUUUUGCCUUUGCUUUACCCAGGUGCUGUCCGGGCAGCCCAGGAGGACUGGCCAGAGCCUCGGGUGGGGGCUCCCUCCCUGCGGCAGUGUCCGGGCUGGCACCGUCCCCAGAAGCUUUCACCACGGGGAUGUUCGUGGGCAGGAUGGAGGAGGUGGGGAGGUCUCGGUGCUCUCCAUCUUUCGGAGGCCCUGGUACCCCACAGCCCUGCCAGAAGCCCAGGAUGCUCCCCCCGUUUCUGCACCAGGGCUUUAACCACCGGAGAGAAACCGAUGGCAAAGUCGGCCCCACUUCCCCCCAGCUCUGCUGUGAAACUGGAUCUGUUUCCUGGGAUUACGUGCAGCACCUUAAAGAAAAUAUUUACAGAAUUUAUAUUCACAUCCCGUCCGCCCUCCUCUCCGGGGGCUCUCCCGUGCCGCCCUCCUGCUCGCGCUCCAUCCCCCCACACCCCCACCCGCUGCCUUUGCCCCCACAAUGCCCGCCUUUGUCAGGGGAACAAUGUUUGCUCUCCAUCGAGGAUGGGGGGAUUGGAAAUGAAAAGGAGCUGCCCCCCCCUCGCCCCAGCCCCGUGCUGCACUCUGUGGCAGGAGAAGGAGGAAUUCCUGCAGGAAUGCCGGGGCGAGGGGAUAAAUAUUCAUGUGCUGGGGGAGAGGGAGGAAAGACAGAGUACGAAGGGCCCGGGACCGGCGUGUUGCGGGGUGCGUAAUUUUGUGCUGAAUAUCAAGGGCGUGCUGGGUGUUCUGCACGGGGUUCGCAGCUCCGGGAUGCAGAAUGGGUGCGGGAGAUAA